CAAUUUUUAUCAACAUUUUUAGUAUAAUAUAUUAUUAUACAUUACAUUAUUUAUGUAUAAUAUACUAGGAAAAUGUAUCAGGAAAGUUAUUGAAGAGGUAUGAAAAUGCAUAAAAAGUACAAAUCAAAUCGAAGUAGUUUUUCAAAUAAUAUAAUCGAUAUUUCCUGUAACUAAACAAAUGUAAAAGUAUUAACACAGCGUGGAACUGGAGAUUGGCCAUAAAUCCUAAAUGUAGUUAGGUUUUUAGUUUUUAAUUUGUAUUUUUCAGAUUUAUGCUUUAAAACAAAAUCAUUACACAAUAGUUAUCGGGAAAGUAAUCAAGAAGAAUGUUUGUUUGUUUUACAAAUAAUGUAAUUGAUGUUUUCCGCAACUAAACUAAAAGUAUACGAAAUUUAUCACAACGUGGAACUGGAGAACAAGAAUUGGCCAAAAAUCGUAAAUUUGAUUUGGUUUUUAGUUUUUAAUUUGUGUUUUUCAGACUUAUAAAGCUAAAAAAAAAAUCAAAAACCGGACAGCGAAAUGAAAUUAUAAUGAAAAUUGAGGACGACUAUAAGGUAGCAUUAUUGAAAAAUAAUAAUGGCAAGCCGAAUGACCGGAGGGAAACAAUUUUUGUCAACAGCAGCUGCUGCUGAUGCUGUUGGUGCCGGAUUGACAGCUUUUGUUUUCGCAUUAACUACAAGCUGUAAUUUGCAGCAAAACACUGCAAUUAACAGGCAAUUGCAGCACGGCAGCCCUCUUUUGUCUUCGGCCCCCAUGGCACACUAAACUAGUUUAGUCCGUCCGUCCCCCCUCUCUGUUCUAAGCUAUUCUAUACGAUCUGAUCAGAUCCGAGGUUCUCGAGUUCGUCUCCGGAUUUGGUGCGACUGAGGAAACGCCCUCCACGCCUUCCAGCACCAUUGCCUGCCACACAGGAAGAAAAAGUAUUAUGCAUAAUUCUUUGAAAUCAAUUCAUGAUAGAUAGAGACUUGGAAAAGCAGAAUAUGAAAUUACAUUCUUCGAUCAAUGUAAUACGUAUGUAAUCACUUUCACUUAUGGCCAAUUAAGCCACGGACACAUUAUAUAAUAUAUACAGAGUAUAUAAAAAUAAUAUUCUUUAGGCAUUUGCAUUUUUCAGAAGUUCUUAGAAAUGUUUUUCCCAAAAUAAUAAUAAUGGUUUAAACUAUAUUUAUAUAAAUAUGGCCAUUGAUCGGUUGGGCAAACUCGCCGGUGUCGUAUAUAAGGAUUUCGCUCCUACUACUAGAUUUCAGCAUAUGAAAUAUUUCUUCAUUUUUAAUACAUUUCAUUUUUUAGUAUGAUGUAUGUUUAAUGCAGUAGGAAUUCAUUCAUUUGCCAAAAAAUGUGGUUGGAUCGAUCGAAUGAUGAACGAAUUAUUCGGAUAAUAAAAUUAAUAACAGCAUAUUUUUGGAUAUAACAUAAUAUUAUGUUCCUAUUCCGACCUAUUUCCACAGAUAUAGUCAUUAAAUGAUACCAUGGUAUAUGUACUUAUUUAUAAUCUAGGGCUCAUUAUCUAGGUAUUUUUCUUAAUCAUUUCAAUUAAUUAAACAACCUUGCAGAUAUUUUAACGUUUUAAUAUCUUUCCACUAAAAGAUUUCUUGGUAUAAAAAUAAUCGUUCUUUUAGCAUUUAAUUUUUUAGAAGUUUUUAGAAAUGUCUAGCAGUCAAAAAUUAAACAAAGCCUCGAAUAUGUUGUGAUUGGAUCGUUUGAAUGAUGAACAGAUACAUAUUUCCUACGGAUUAUAUUAUUGGAUAUUUUGUAAAAUGAUUCCAAGGAUUUUCGAUAUGAUUAGAUAAAAUCAUUAAAUGAUACCUUCGUAUAUGGGUUUCUAUCGAAUCUAUUAAAUUGUAUGUAGGGUGAUCAUGGUCUACGUAUUUAUCUUAAUAUCUUCCAACUAACGAUUUUUUUGUAGAAAAAUAUCCGUUCAAAUAAUAGUUGAUAUUCUCUUAGCAUUUACUUUGUAUAGAAGUUUUUAGGAAUGUCUAGCAGUUAAAAAUGAAUUAAUUUAAUGGUUUAAAAUAAAAACACAGCCAAAAUAUAUAGAAAAUAUAUCAUCGAUAUCAUUUAUACACGGAUGAUAAAGUUAAUAUAAGAUAUUAAGGAUCUGCAAAGUAUAAACAGGGAAAACAUUAAGCCUACCUAUUUCCUCGGAUAAAAUCAUCAAAGGAUAUCUUCGUAAAUGGCUUUCUUUAGAAUUUUGUAGGGCUAAGGAUCUUGGUAUUUAUCCUUAAUCUUCUCAAUUUAUUAUGUUAAUGGUUAAAUUAUCAUCAAAUCAAUAUAAAGGUCGAAUCAACACCAUAAUACCUCUAUCGAAAAUGCGAAAUUUGGUUUCUCCCUUUUUCCUCCUUUAAGUGGCCGUAUUAUGUCCCUGGCUUAGCCAAUAGUUACAAUAUGGAUUGACAUACCUCGUUGGAUUUAUUAUUACACCAUGAUAAUUUCGGAAGUUGGACGUGAUAGAUAUGCAACAUAGACUAUACCAAACAUUCGAAUGGCGAUAGUUAUUAUUACGUUGUUUGAAUAUUACUUUUUAGAUACUAUGAUAUAGAUGUGGAAUAUUGCAGAACUAUAUAGAUUGAUUUCAAAAUGGAACUAUAUAAAUUGGAGAUGCUGAUAAGGAACGAACCAAUGAAAACCAUUGAAUGCAUUUUUUGCCGUGCACUUUCUGUCGUGGGCCGACUCGGGGCAUUAUAAUUAAUUGGAAAUCGGAGUCGAUCAAUCGGAUGGCAACCGCAAAAUUAAUAAGCAUGAAUGAUGCCGACGACGCGAGUGUUCGCUGUAAUUGUGGAUGCGCCGUAGUCAAAGUGGAGCAGACCAGACCAGACCAGACCAGACCAGGCCAGGCCGGGCCGACACGGGGCAAAGCAGAGCAGAGCGGAGCUGACGGGCUAAUCAAAUUGCUGGCAAUCAUGGAGCCGUAUAAGCAAAUGUAGCAAUUUCAGUCAAACACCGAGAGAGCCGGCAACUUGAUAUGGCCAAGUUGCAGACGGCAACAACCACUUGUGGCUGUGACGCUAUUCAAUUCGAUUCGCCUUUAACUUAACUUGGCUCAACUUGGGCUGGCUGUGGAAACCUCAGUCGAGUCAAUCAAAUGCAAAAUUGCGGUUCUUUGUUGAUUGUUGUUAAAUUUCGCAUAGCCGCUAUACACCAACAACAGCAACAACAAUUUCUGCAGCCAAAAUACAUACCUCGACAUGGUCCCGGAUAUGCCACGGCAAUGGAACGCCCAAUUUUGCAAAUCAUUCGAUUUAUAUCACAAACGCUCCUGUAUGUAUUCCCAUCAAC